GUGAAUCAUCGAAUUUUUGAACGCAAAUUGCACUCUCCGGUUUUCCGGGAGAGUAUUCCUGUUUAGGGUUCAGCCUAACUACAAUCUGCUUAGUAGGUUGCGGUGUUUUUCACGGUAACGGUGGUCGGAAUUUUGGUCGUCUUAAACCGAAUGGUUUUUAAUCUACUUAUAAUUUUCUUUACGUUCUCUCUAACGUUUCUAACAUUUUCUUGUACGUUCAAGGUAUCGAUAUUAGACGUGAUCGUCGUAUCGGAUCGCUUCCAUAAUAAUUUCUUUCACUGACCUCAGACA
rnacentral:misc_RNA from 1 species